AUGAAUGUGUCUUUUGUCCAGCUCGGCCGCCUCGGAUCUCACUGCCACCGGCCUUCACGCACACCCUCGCCACCAGCCUUUGCCCCGUCAGCCUCAGCCCCAGCUCAUUCUCUCAGGCAGUCCCAGCAUUGGCAUGGUACCUCCUCCCGCCGUGGGCCUCACGUCUCUGCUCCCUGUCAACCCUACUGCCAUCAGCAUCACCACAAGCGACUUGUCUGCCCAGGAGGAUGCAACACCAUCUACCUCUACCGGCCACCUUUCAGUGUUUUCUGCUUUCCAAGUAAAGACACCAGCAGUGCCCUCAGAGCGGACCAGCCAGAGAUUUUCCGAAGCCUCCCAUAUAGGCUCCUCCGUGGAGGAGGCCUGAGAUGCUGUCAUGACUUUGGAGCCAGGGUGGCCGACCACCUUGGCCUGGCCAUCUUUGGGGUGGGCUUUGGGAGCCCAGCACUGCUGCCGAGUGUGGUGGAUGAGAACGGCUGCUGCUUGCUGUACGUGGUGGAGCUGUGUGGCGUGGAGCGAGCCUUCAGAGCUGAGCAUUUGACCAACACCAGAGUGGUUCGGGAACAGGAUGCGGACAUUGUCCUCAACGACCAGCGGUACGGUUUCAGUUGUCAGCAGAGGUUCACUGAACACCUGCUGUGUGCCGGGCACCGUCCUGGGGGCUGGAGAAAUGGCUCUGAAUGCUGCAAAGCCCCCAUCCUUGUGCUGCUGAAUUGGGUGCAGAGGCAGCUGAGUAGAUCUCAAUACAUCAGUAGCAAUAAACUCUGUGGAGAGAACUCACGCCGUCGGGAGAGGGAGGCUGGUGGGAGCGCUGUUUUAGGGAAGGGGGUGCUUUGCGAGAGGCUGCCGAGUUUGAAUUGUCAGGCUGCCCAGUCCUGCUUCGACGAAGCCGACGGACGUGGAAAGCCUUUGGUCUGUGGAUUUUACAACUCCUCUCCCAGGCGCUUUGAUCCGGCUUUCCAGUUCUUGCACAAACAAGUUUGUGUCGGCCACGCCCUGGGGAGGAUCCACGGGAUCACCGCCAUCAGCAGCCUGUUCCCAGCAGCCUCUCUGGCUUCCCUAAAGAGGGCAGGUGGGAUUUUCCACAACGCUGCUGUGCGCGGCGUGGAUGCCACAUGCAUGUUGCUGGGGGACGCCACUUCGGACACUGUUUUCUCUGGGACAUGCCUUCUGCCCAGAUAUGGCUGCCUUAAAAGAUGCAGACACUGUUAUGAUCAGCAUGAAGUUUCCCUGUGGGGCUAUGGUCAGCGUGGACGUCAGCCAGCACCGUACAGACAGCUGUGACCAGGGAUUGGAGGUGCGUGGGUCCCAAGGCGCGCUGCAGAUGGAGAAUCAGAAUCCCUUGGGCAUCACCGGGCGGGGCACGUCCCUGUCCCUCGGCUCCCAGACCCAGGCUAGCCGCUACCAGGACUCGUAUCGAGAGCUCUUCAGCUACUUUGUCAGAACCCUUAAAG
rnacentral:lncRNA from 1 species